GAGGGUAUAGCUCAGUGGUAGAGCACAUGCUUAGAAUGCACGAGGUCCUGGGUUCAACCCCCAGUACCUCCA
rnacentral:tRNA from 1 species